GAUGACACUUGUGAAUUAUAUUAUAUUGGAAGCCUACUCACAUUUACCUGUGACGGUACAAUUGCUGAGAUUUGAGCAACAUACCAGCUGAGUGGAUAGAUAUUAUCGGGAUCUUUUUCCCUUAAGUGAGGCCUCAACAUCUCUAUUGAGGACACUAUGUAUAUACCUUGAAAAAUGAAAUAUGAUGUGAAUGUUUACCGAUCCUGCCUAUCUUGAGAAAGACCCGGUCAAGGGGUCGAAACGUCGAUCAAAGGCGAAUUGGUGCAACUGACUAUUAAAAUCAUGAAUGUUUUAUGCUAUUUAAUUGUAUAUGUUAUUUACUAGUGAGUGCCCCCUCCACUUUUGUGGA